GACGAACGCUGGCGGCGUGCCUAACACAUGCAAGUCGAGCGGGGGUGCCAAAGAGCAAUCGGAGGUAUUCCAGCGGCGGACGGGUGAGUAACGCGUGAGCAACCUGCCUUCUACUGGGGGAUAACGCAGCGAAAGCUGCACUAAUACCGCAUGAGACCACGGAGCCGAUGGCACUGGGGUCAAAGGAGCAAUCCGGUGGAAGAUGGGCUCGCGUCCGAUUAGGUAGUUGGCGGGGUAACGGCCCACCAAGCCAAAGAUCGGUAGCCGGCCUGAGAGGGUGAACGGCCACAUUGGAACUGAGAGACGGUCCAAACUCCUACGGGAGGCAGCAGUGGGGAAUAUUGGGCAAUGGGGGAAACCCUGACCCAGCAACGCCGCGUGAGGGAAGAAGGUUUUCGGAUUGUAAACCUCUGUUCUUGGUGAAGAGAAGAAGACGGUAACCGAGGAGGAAGCCCCGGCUAACUACGUG
rnacentral:rRNA from 1 species